rfam:Gossypium hirsutum cultivar TM-1 chromosome 11, whole genome shotgun sequence
GUCCUGUGAUGAGGGCAUUUGCGUAAUAGUUCUGUAAAUCUUUCCCAUGCCUCAUACAGGGAUUCAUCGUCUGAUUUCUUGAAGGUUGUGAUCUCAUUCCUUAACUU